ACAUUGUAUUCAUUUUUGUAUAUUUCUAAGAGAAAGUCAUACUAGAUUCUACUUAUUUCUUCUUCUUUUUUCUCUUUUUUUUUUCAUCGGUCUAAUACAUAAAGCGAGAGAGUAAACAAGAUUUAAUACAGAAAACAAGAUUAAACAAAGCAUAAAUUAAAAUCUUCUCUUCAUACUCUGAACAUGUAUCUAGCUCCUUUCUACAUAUCCUUCCAGAUCCACGUACCAUUGCCGCAAAUGCUAUUAUACGUGUUAUAUGUAGAUUGAUUGACUGCUGCCAUAACCGUAAAACCUCUAUCGCUCAAAUCUUCAAGCGUGCAGGUGAAAUCAUUAUCAUUUGUCACCAAGAGGAUGUUGCGUGGCAUGUUUUGCUUUGUGGUUGCCCCAAUCGCGUGGAAGACCAUAUCCUUCACGAUUUCGAUAUCGGCGAAAUCGGUCUUAUAGUCGUGAGGAUCAUCAUUGGGAAAAUGGAAUGAUUUUCGGAUAUACUUUCCACAAACCCAGACAAAUGACCGUUUUUGUAACCACGUUGUUCAUUUGGAAACCACAUUUUCUCAGCGCCAGAACAAGAGCUCUAUUAUCUUGUUUGAUUUUUUCGUAGCCAGUCGGUUUGCCAUAAAUGAAAUAUCUAGAGUCAAGUGUUUGCAAUGAUUUUUCAAUGUUAUCAACAGACUCUCGGGACCCGUUUCUUCUACCAACUUGUACUCAAAAUCCCACACUAUAUGAACCCCCCCCCCCCCCCCCGAUUCUCGAAUUUCCUCAUCAGAACGAAUCUUUUCGGUGGGACGUAACCUGCUGCUUAUAGCUCCGAUCCGUAACUCUGUGAGAUCCGAAGAACGAGUCAGAGAUGAAGAAGACUAGGUUAGAAGUUUUGAUGUAAAAUAAAAGUUUUGAUUUUCAUAUUUUCAAUUUAAAUUCACAUAUGUAAAAUAAAAUUUUUGAUGGUUAUAACAAAACUUUCAAGUUUAUUGGUGAUGGAGAGUUACAUAUAUUAAUUCCAAAAUAUGAGCAAAUGCAAGAUUUCAAAUCUUAAGAAACUUCUAAAAAAAUUUCAAUCAUACUUAUU
rnacentral:lncRNA from 1 species